UACAGGGGGUGCAAGCGUUAUUCGGAAUUACUGGGCGUAAAGCGCGUGUAGGCGGUUGCCAAAGUCGGGUGUGAAAGCCUUGAGCUCAACUCAAGAAAUGCACUCGAUACUUGGUGACUAGAGGACCGGAGAGGAUAGUGGAAUUCCCAGUGUAGUGGUGAAAUACGUAGAGAUUGGGAAGAACACCAGUGGCGAAGGCGGCUAUCUGGACGGUUUCUGACGCUAAGACGCGAAAGCGUGGGGAGCAAACAGG
rnacentral:rRNA from 1 species